ACGUAAUCAACGUGUGUUGACUGGCUUCGAGCUGUGUUGCGUCUGGAAUGAAACCCCCCAAAAAUUUUUUCCUGGUUACUUUUUAACUGGUAAAAAUUAAAGACAACGUUACGUUUUCUGUGAUGUGGGUGGAACACUGUCUUUAGCCAAUGGAGACCAGAAAAACUGUAUUGUGAUAAUGCCAAGUCUUGAAUAGACUUAAGGACCACUGGUGCCAUAUUUUGACUAUACCUUUCCGCCUCACAUUGGACUGGUCUUGAAGGAAAUCUUUCAUCCCUCCUGAUGUAAAUUCAACUCUUAGAACUGCUCCAAACUUGUAGAAGGGUUUCACGUAGUUUAGUCUAGGAAGCUUCUUGAGUUCUUCUGAACACGGAUAAAGAAGGAAUAUAUGAAUAAGGAUGGAAUAUAUGUAAAGUGAGUUUGGAGGAUCUGAAAACUGCGUGAUUGGAAAUCCUGAACAAGAAAUCUAGCUUGGUUUUAUGAUGACAGUGACAAGAAGCCCAAGAGAAAAUGCGUUGAGAGAAGAGUUUAUGAGUUCAGAUCACUGAGAGAGACGUCGUAUGGAUGGUUGAAGAUUGACUGUCUAAGUACAAGCGAGUAUUUUAUAGUAAAAGGGGAAAGCUUUGUAAAGAAAAAGAAGUAAAUGUGAUUUAUCGAGUUU